UUUGAAAGAAAACAUUCACUCAUUGAUAAAUAGGUAAAUGACCAAAUAAAUCUGAAACUCGAAAUAUUCAACUAUGAUUAAUUCCUUUAUCUGUGAAAAUUAUAUACUCUAACCUUACUAUUCAUGUGAAUUACAACUAUGGUUCUUACUCUCUUUUUUUUUUUUUCUAAUUUCUUGAAAUAUUAUUCAUGGUUUUUCUAAUUUCUUGAAAUAUGAUUCAUGGUGAGACUAUAGCCAGUACUAAUUUAUAAGAUCCAUACCACCAUUGGCCCCUCUCCAAACUUGCCUCCAAGAUUCAAUAAUUUAACAAGGCAACAAAGAGUAGGCUCACCAUCAUCUGGAUAUAAGAGAGUUGGAUGGAAGCGAGAGAGAUUGUUGGCAGUAGACUUGUGGGAUUUUGUGCAUAAUAUUUCGGUUGUUUUGAGUUUUGAUUGAAGGAGUUGGGUUUCUUUUGGGGUCCAAAUUUCUAUUUGAGAAAAGAAAGAGAAGAAAGAUGAGGAAGGGAUCCACAAAACAUGCAACUUAACAACAAAUUAAUGGAGGUUACCAUCACAUGAUCAAUUUGGGCUAAAUUAUGCCAAAGUUAAAACCUUAGGAAACCAACUGACUGCAAAUGAACAUUAGAAGCUAAGGUUCAAGACGCUGCUUCACGCGGGCAGUCUCUGGCUUUUUCCUAAGCUAUAAGAAUUAAGUAAUCAAGGUUGAGACUUAUGGGUAAGGCGAGCAUUUGGAGGAUGCAAAGGAGCUGUUCAGUGAAAUGCUUCAAAGGGAUUACCACUCAAAUUGGUUGCUCAUGAUUCCUCAAGAUUGACUAACAUAACCCCCCCAACCUUCCUCUUUGCAAAACCUCCCUCGUCAACCCUCGUCCUCCUCACAUCAUAACCUUUGCCAUGCCCAAAACACUAGACAAACCCACCUCCCCUAUACACAGAGUAUAUACUUUGAGAACUUCCGCUCAGGUUGGGAUGCCAAUUCAUUAUGGCGCUCUCUUUCUUAGUUGGGCAGAAUAGAUGAAAUUUACAUCCCUAACAAGCUCAGUUGCAGGGGCAGACGUUUUGGAUUUAUCCGCUCAUCAUCGGAAGGUUUUUAUAGACUUUUGAAUGCGAUUAAUGGUAUAUGGAUUGGUUCAUACAAGUUGCAGGCUUUUUGUGUGAAGAUAUGGUAGAGAUAAAGCUAAGAAGGGGAAGGGAAAGGUUAAUGAAACAAAGGAGAACAGACAGCCUCCUCCAUCCUAUGAAGAUGUCCAAAAUAAUAUGGUAAAUAAAGUCAGAUCUGAGAAAGGAGUUGUGAAACCUUUUGAAAUCUGCCAUGGAAGUCAGUGGGAUAGGGACACUUCUCAAAGUCAUAUCAUGAGUGGUCAAUAUACUUCGUCAGAAGUUAUUAAAAAUGAGAAUAUGGACUAGUUAGACAGAUGUGCGGUGGCUACAGUAUUGAACAUUCAUACAAUCUCUAACCUAGAACAGUACAUGAUUAAGGAGGGUGUUUUUCCAAUCUCAGUGAUACCAAUGGGAGGUGAUGCUGUUCUUUUAGUUUUCGAAGAUACAGAGUCUAUGAGAAGCUUCAUUGAAUCUUUGUUACUUAGUGAGUGGUUCUCGAAUGUCAACCCUUGGAAUGAGGUGUUUACUUCUCAGAAAAGGCUUAGUACGGUUAAGAAUGUUUGGGUUUCCACUGAAUUUAUGGUCUACGCACUUUUUUAGAUGGAUUGGUGUGGUACCUUUAUCUCUAUGGAUCCUCUUACACAAAAGAAAUCACAAUUGAGUUUUGCUAGAAUUUUAUUAUUAACUGAUUCUUCAUCUGCUGGGGCCAAAACCAUUGCUGUAGGUGCCGAGAAAACUAGGUUUCAUGUUCUCAUGUUUGAGGAGUGUUGUGGUAACCAUGGUUUUAUUAGGUCUUCUUCUUAUGGGAACGGCUUUAAGAAGCACAGAGCUGAUGUGGAGAAUAGUUGUGAUGAGGAAGCUAGUAGCAGUUCUGAUGAGGAAGCUAGUAUGUCCAGUGCGAUUGGCUUGUCAAAUGCUUAUCAAGAAGAUGAAGAUGAUGUAUCACCUCCUUCCCUAAGCCAACAGACUCCAUGUGACCAUUCAUCGCAUCUUGAAAGAUGCCCAUUAUAGCCUCUCCCAUUGGUGGUGGUGAAACACGAGAUAGCCACCCAUGCAGCCGCCAGCUUUUGAUAAAUAAGGAUUGGGGAUUUUCUACUCAUCAUUGUUCCAACAACAUUGGGAAUAGGUGUGGGCAUCAAAGAAAGCAUUUCUAAUUCAAAAUUGCAGCACCUAUUCC
rnacentral:misc_RNA from 1 species